GCGUUGGCCUAACCGGAUUUGCAGUGCAUCAGGUAAGGGAAAAAGGAUGGUUAGAUAGAGAGAAGGGGAGUUCUGUGAUUGGAGAGGAGAGGAGACAGGGAUGAGGCAGAGCAUGGGAUGGGGCUAUCAACAGAUGUAGAUUAUUCCUUGCACAAGAGAUGAUGAUGAGCUGUGAAUGAGUUCUGAGAGAUGGCUGGUGUUGUUGUUGCUCCCUCCCCUGCACUGCCUCUUCCCUGGCUCCCCUGCACACCUCUCUCUCU
rnacentral:precursor_RNA from 1 species